rnacentral:rRNA from 1 species
CCAUGCAUGUCUAAGUAUAAGCAACUAUACUGUGAAACUGCGAAUGGCUCAUUAAAUCAGUUAUCGUUUAUUUGAUAGUACCUUACUACAUGGAUAACCGUGGUAAUUCUAGAGCUAAUACAUGCUAAAAACCUCGACUUCGGAAGGGGUGUAUUUAUUAGAUAAAAAACCAAUGCCCUUCGGGGCUUCCUGGUGAUUCAUAAUAACUUAACGAAUCGCAUGGCCUUGUGCCGGCGAUGGUUCAUUCAAAUUUCUGCCCUAUCAACUUUCGAUGGUAGGAUAGUGGCCUACCAUGGUUUCAACGGGUAACGGGGAAUUAGGGUUCGGUUCCGGAGAGG